AGUAACGCCGCGUGGGCGAUGAAGGUCUUCGGAUCGUAAAGCCCUUUUCUGGGGACGAGGAGAAGACGGUACCCCAGGAAGGAGUCUCGGCUAACUACGUGC
rnacentral:rRNA from 1 species